CCGGCUGGCGCUGCGGCUCGGGCGGGGAGCGCGGACCGGCCGGCAGCGGCGGCGGCGGCAGCGGCAGCUCUGAGCUGGCAGGCGGAGGGCUUUCUCCCGCGCCCGCCUGCCCGGCGCGGUCCGAGGAUGCGGGGGGGCGAUGCCCGGGGCCAGGGACGCGCUCUGUCACCAGGCGCUGCAGCUGCUGGCCGAGCUCUGUGCCCGAGGGGCCCUGGAGCACGACAGCUGCCAAGAUUUCAUCUACCACCUGCGGGACCGUGCCAGACCCCGGCUCCGCGACCCAGAUAUCUCUGUGAGCCUGCUAACUCUCGUGGUUACCGCCUGUGGUCUUGCCCUCUUUGGUGUCUCUCUUUUCGUGUCUUGGAAACUGUGCUGGGUUCCGUGGCGAGAGCGAGGCCUGUUCUCUGGUAGCAAAGACAACAACCAAGAGCCUCUUAACUACACUGAUACAGAGACAAAUGAGCAGGAGAACAGCGAGGACUUCCUAGACCCACCCACACCCUGCCCGGACUCCUCCAUGAAGAUCAGCCACACUUCCCCCGACAUUCCCCUCUCCACCCAGCCAGGUGGCCAGGACAACUGUGCCCAUGCCGUCCGUGUACAGCGACAAGUCACAGAGCCAACGCCGUCAGCUCGGCAUAACUCAAUCCGAAGACAACUCAACCUGUCAAACCCGGACUUUAAUAUCCAACAGCUUCAGAGGCAGGAGCAGUUGACUGGGAUUGGUAGAAUUAAGCCAGAGUUAUAUAAACAGAGGUCACUGGACAACGACGAUGGGAGGAGAAGUAACAGCAAAGCCUGCGGGAAACUGAACUUCAUCUUAAAAUACGACUGCGACUUGGAACAGCUCAUCGUGAAGAUCCACAAAGCCGUCAAUCUGCCCGCCAAGGACUUCUCUGGGACGUCAGAUCCUUAUGUCAAGAUCUACUUGCUUCCUGACCGGAAAACAAAACACCAGACUAAGGUUCACAGGAAGACCCUGAACCCUGUGUUUGACGAGGUGUUUUUAUUUCCUGUGCACUACAAUGACCUUGAAGCUCGGAAGCUUCACUUCUCCGUGUAUGACUUUGACAGGUUCUCUCGCCAUGACUUGAUUGGUCAAGUGGUGGUGGACCACUUCUUCGACUUGGCUGACUUCCCCAGGGAGUGCAUCCUUUGGAAGGAUAUCGAGUAUGUCACCAACGAUAAUGUGGACCUGGGUGAGCUUAUGUUUUCGCUCUGCUAUCUUCCAACAGCCGGCAGGCUGACCAUCACCAUCAUCAAAGCAAGGAAUUUAAAGGCAAUGGACAUUACGGGAGCGUCAGAUCCGUACGUGAAAGUCUCACUGAUGUGUGAUGGCCGGAGACUGAAGAAGAGGAAAACAUCCACCAAGAGGAACACGCUUAACCCUGUUUACAAUGAAGCCAUAGUCUUCGAUGUCCCUCCUGAGAGCAUUGAUCAGAUCCACUUGUCCAUAGCUGUCAUGGACUAUGACCGGUCACAAUGAGGUCAUCGGCGUGUGCCAAGUAGGCAACGAGGCUGAGCGGCUGGGCAGAGACCACUGGAGUGAGAUGCUGUCAUAUCCCCGGAAGCCCAUCGCACACUGGCACUCUCUGCUGGAGAAACGAUGAUUGUGGAUAGGAAGACUGCUUUUGCCAAGGACACAGUCGGACAACCAUGUAACAAAGAUCUUCAGUAACUUUUCCCACCUAGCAACACCCAGAUGACUCCAGUGAUGAAAUACUCAGCUGUACCCACAGCAAUAACUGGCCCUCUUUUAAGUUGGAUUUGGUGAAUCUGAAUGGCUCAUCUAUCUUCUUCAGGCGGCCCAAGGCGAUAUACUCUAGGGAAGCUCAUCCCUCGAUGUCAGAAACCAAGUUGGACUGUGGACAGGAGCAGGUGGCCUAGUAAGAGUCCUGAGUGCCAAGACUCCUAGUGGCUAAUGUAAGGCCUGUAGUUGUACGGGCGUGAUACUGGUCCUGACAGUGGUCAGUCUAACAUACAGUCAUUUGAUUGGAUGCCCUGGAAGGACAGAAUAUUUACAAAAAUAUAUAUCCAGGUGCUAAAUAGGCAGCAGAUUUCAAACCAAACUCUACUACCUGUGAGCUAAUGACUGUCUUCAGAGAAUAAUUCUACCCUAGAAAGUGUUCCAGUUUUCCAAGGAAUAGUCCAAGAGAAUGCUAGACCAAGCCAGCCUGGGAAGUCUCAUGCAAGGCAGGUCAGUUCAUAGUGAACUCACUGUCCGCUCCCAUGCACAUGGCAGAGUCCCACUCAGGCAUGGUCCUUCUCCACAGCUGAACCCAGACUCUGGGAUUCUAAAACAUUGUUUCCAGGUAGCCCGCAGCCUCUUCCUUUCCAGCAGUGAUGUUACUAGAAUAAAAGUCGCCAUCCUUGUGUGAGACGCUUGCCUCCCAGUGGCACGUGCAUCCUGAAAUGUUCUUUCCUGGACACAGAAGGGUGUGGUAUGAGAGAAGAUCACUGAGAGAUGACACAAAGAAAAGGCACAGCUUAGGGGCUUUCUGGACACAGCUGCCUUCUGGGUGUUUCCAUAAGUAACAGCCCAGGGUAUAGACUUGGGCAGCCACAAAGAGAGGCUGUUUUCCAUCUCAGACACAUGCUACUUUUUGCAGCACUUGAAAUGGAAAUACCUACAAGAAUGAAAGCCAAGGGCUCUCCCCAGGAUAGCUCAUCCAUUACCCAGCAUCCUUCUCAACCAGUGUACUGCCAGUUCUACACCUCAUCUUUCCUGUGUCUGCCUCCAGGAAGUGAAACCAAAGCCCCGGCACCCCCUGAAUUGACCAGGGGCUGUUACCUAGAAUCUCCUCUCUCAUCAUGAGUCUAGAAGGUCUUCCCCUGCAUCACUGCUCCACAAUUCCAUUCUUCCUCCAGUCUGUGCUACAGAGUCCAGAGUUGGGUUGCAGUUAAGCAUCCUAGAGAGCGGCCUCUCUUCAUUGCACUUCAUGUUUCAAUGUAGGUUGCACCUGAGAGAGGCAGCAUCACAGGAGAUGUUGGAAAGUUCUGGCUUCCAUACAUACCUAGUACCAGAAAUACUACUGCCAAUGCCAGAUCUUGUCAUGUCCUAAGUAGGUGAAGGCCUUCGAUUGCGUAAGGCAAUGUCAAUUCACUCAAGCUUAGUGCAUUUCCCCAGCCCAUCCACUCCCAUCUCCUUCCAACUUCAUUUGAAGUUGGUUCAAGGGGAACCUAUGUUCAAAGUUCAGCCUAUGUCUGAUGAGAAAAAUACACCUUCCUUUCCCAUGGGUCCUCUCUGCCCAUCCCUUCCAUUCAGACAUCCGCCACCGUAUCACUGUUUAGAACCAAAGUACGAAGGGUGAGUGCCAACAGGAUAGUGAGCAGAAAUAUUGUCACUAGGUCCAGGCAGGUGCACCUAGAAGAAUGGUCCCAAAGAAACUAGAAUGGCUCCAGCAAAAGAUUAUCAGGCAGCCAUCUUGUUAAGCUUUUGACGUGCUCUUGGCAAUGGGAACCCAGGUUGGAGAUCCUGGGGUAGCCUGUUGUUCCCACCUCAGGAUCUCCUCACCUUGAGCUAGCAGCCCUGGGGUACUAUGGAAUAUGCUAUUGACUCAAAGAUAGCUUUGUGGGAGCAUUCAGGUGGAGAAGACUGCCUGAAUGGUUUUGUGUGGGGGGCAGCUUUUCCUAGCCAGUACAGCUGUGGCCAGAAGCAGGCUAUCAAUCUGAAUUCCCUCAGCUCAUCUGCAACUCUGCCUCUGUUCUCUUGUGUUUUGUUUGGUUGCCCUUUAGUUUCCUAGUAAAUAUUCCUUUUGAAAAUA